rnacentral:rRNA from 1 species
UACGUAGGGUGCGAGCGUUGUCCGGCAUUAUUGGGCGUAAAGGGCUCGUAGGCGGUUUGUCGCGUCGGGAGUGAAAUCCACUGGCUUAACUGGUGGCUUGCUUUCGAUACGGGCAGACUGGAGGUAUGCAGGGGAGAACGGAAUUCCGCGUGUAGCAGUGAAAUGCGUAGAGAUGCGGAGGAACACCGAUGGCGAAGGCAGCCCCCUGGGCUAACACUGACGCUCAGGCACGAAAGCGUGGGGAGCAAACAGG